rnacentral:rRNA from 1 species
AGCAGCCGCGGUAAUUCCAGCUCCAAUAGCGUAUAUUAAAGUUGUUGCAGUUAAAAAGCUCGUAGUUGAAUUUCGGGAUCAAUACGUCUGUCGUGCCUUUGGUACGUACGGGUGUAAUUGGUUUCUACCUUCUGAGGAUCCUUGAUGUCAUUAAUUUGGUGUCUUGGGGAAUCAGGACUGUUACCUUGAAAAAAUUAGAGUGUUUAAAGCAGGCUCACGCUUGAAUACAUUAGCAUGGAAUAAUGAAAUAGGACGUUUGAUUCUAUUUUGUUGGUUUCUAGGAUCAACGUAAUGAUUAAUAGGGAUAGUUGGGGGCAUUAGUAUUCAAUUGUCAGAGGUGAAAUUCUUGGAUUUAUUGAAGACUAACUACUGCGAAAGCAUUUGCCAAGGAUGUUUUCAUUAAUCAAGAACGAAAGUUAGGGGAUCGAAGACGAUCAGAUACCGUCGUAGUCUUAACCAUAAACUAUGCCGACUAGGGAUCGGAUGAUGUUAAUUUUUAAUGACUCAUUCGGCGCCUUAC